rnacentral:rRNA from 1 species
UACGGAGGGGGCUAGCGUUGUUCGGAAUUACUGGGCGUAAAGCGCACGUAGGCGGCUUUGUAAGUUAGAGGUGAAAGCCCAGGGCUUAACUCUGGAAUUGCCUUUAAGACUGCAUCGCUAGAAUCGUGGAGAGGUGAGUGGAAUUCCGAGUGUAGAGGUGAAAUUCGUAGAUAUUCGGAAGAACACCAGUGGCGAAGGCGACUCGCUGGACACGUAUUGACGCUGAGGUGCGAAAGCGUGGGGAGCAAACAGG